rnacentral:rRNA from 1 species
AUUGAACGCUGGCGGCAGGCCUAACACAUGCAAGUCGAGCGAGAAAGCACUUCGGUGCGAGUACAGCGGCGGACGGGUGAGUAACGCGUAGGAAUCUACCUGGUAGUGGGGGACAACAGUCGGAAACGGCUGCUAAUACCGCAUACGCCCUAUGGGGGAAAGCGGGGGAUCUUCGGACCUCGCGCUAUCGGAUGAGCCUGCGUUGGAUUAGCUAGUUGGUGAGGUAAAGGCUCACCAAGGCGACGAUCCAUAGCUGGUCUGAGAGGAUGAUCAGCCACACUGGGGACUGAGACACGGCCCAGACUCCUACGGAGGCAGCAGUGGGGAAUAUUGCGCAAUGGGCGAAAGCCUGACGCAGCCAUGCCGCGUGUGUGAAGAAGGCCUUCGGGUUGUAAAGCACUUUCAAUUGGAGGAAAGGUUGCAGGUUAAUAACCUGUAACUGUGACGUUACCUUUAG